GGGCGCGAGGCCGGGCGGGCCCGGCGGGCUGGGCGGGGAGCCCGGGCCUGAGUCCAGGCGCCUUCCUGAGGCCGCCACCGCGGCCGCCUGAACCUGUCUCUACCCGGCACUCCCCAUUCCAGGCACGGGUGCUGGUAACGGUGCACUGACAGUCUGGGGGGUGAGAUUGGGCCCCAUCUCCAUCUGUGGGUGGAUCAGGGGGUGCAGCUGAGGCUCCGCCGGGACUAUCAGGCGAGUGCACCCUCGGCGGGCACUCCCCUCCUCUCCGUGGGCGGCACCCUCCCUCUCCACUACACUCCUCCCACCCAAUCCGUUAAGGAAAGUUAGCCAAAACAAAAAUAAAUAUUGAUGGAACCCCCUAAUAGGGGCCGAACUCUGCCAAUCACUAGGCGAUACAGAUUGUAGGACAAUUAUUGGGCCUUUUAGGUAUCACUGGUUAAGGGGAGAGAGGAAGACUGUGGGUAAAUAACAGAUUAAAGUGUGAUAAAUGUUUUAAUAAUGGUAUAAAAACAGGAGGCACCAUCGAAAUGUCUAACGAGCAUCUUCAGAGGAGCAGUGGCUAUUAAGUAGAAUUUACUAGGAAUAUGUGACAUUUGAGGAAGGCUUAUAAUGAGUAAAAAUUAAAUGGAAUAAGCAUUGAUAAGAAAGACACUAAAAUAGAGUUAGUGAGCUAUUAGAGAAGUGGGGCUUAUGCACUUCUUGUGCUUCAUUUCUUGGAGCUGCUAUUACUUUGCCAAAUUUGCUAAACUCAGUUCAAGGCCCAGCCAUAAACAUCUAGGAACAGUAACUGCUACGUGGACAUAAAUGAACUUUACUUCGUCGGUUUUUUUCGUCCCCCUCGUUUGCAUAUAGGAACUAACCAAUCCCCAUGCUGUGGAUUGAUUGCCUCAUCAGAACUUCCCAACUGAGGUGCUGUGAAUAAUAUACAGCUGUGCUCUGAUGUGAAUCCCAUUAUCCUUGGAACUGCUGAGCAAGAAUGAGGCAACAGGAGCCUUCAGGCAAGUCAUGGCUGCAAGCUUCUUGAGUUGAUCCCAAACAGACAAACCUAAUCAUAUGGUGAAAGAAAUUGAACUGGUGGUUGCCUCCGGGGACUGAGGAUGGGCACUGACUUUUGAAGGGCAUGAGAUAACUUCCUGCAGUGAUGGACAUGCUCUCUAUCUUGAUGAGGUGUGGAUUACACAAGUGUAUACAUUUGUCAAAACACUCUGAACUAUGCACAUAAGAUCUCUGCUUACCACUGUAUGUAUAUUAGACUUUAAUUUUAAAAAAUAAAAAACAUAGGACAAGGGAAAUAUUUAGUAAAGGAUGGUAGCAUAUGUCUUAAGCCAGAUUACCCUAAGAUGCUUGCAAAAAUAAUGAGAAAAACGUAGAACAUUUGCCAUGUGGAGUCUGUAAGAACAUAAGGUUCCAGAAGAAAAGGUACCUUCUAGUUGGUUCCGCUCUCUCAGUUGAUCUUUGUGCUGAAGCUUUAUUGACUCAGUCCAUCCAAAGAAUGUUAUUGCACCUGAUGAAUGCUGUGAACUCUGUACCCCAUACUUAAUCAAUAAGUAGUCAUGCUAUGACCUAUACAAAAAUGAGGCUGCUAAAAUCACUUUAUCAUUCUUAUCAGAUACAGUUAUUUUAAACAAAAUUUGAUUCUUACCAAUUAUCAAAGAUAAUACUUAAUUCAAAAUAGCAUUUGUUGUGGUGCUCUACCAAAUAAUAUACAAAGAUUAAAUUAUCAAAAGACGUAUGAGCUCAAAACUGUCAAGGACAUCCAAAACAAGAGAAGUCUGAAAAAAAAUCAUCACGGUCUAAGGAACCUAAGUAGAAAUAAUGACUGAAUGUAAUUCCAUAUCCUGGAUGGAAACUUGGAACAGAAAGUAGCCAUUAAGUUAAAUAAAAACUAAGGAAAUUUGAAUAAAGUAUGGACUUCAUUAAUAA